AGCGUGUUUCCUUGGUGCAUCAUCUAAAGAACUGUUUAUUCUAACUAAUUCAAAGAGACUACAGGAUAGAAACAUGCAGAAAUAAACAGUAGGUGCAAAUAAAUAAGUGGAAGUUGACUGCCAGUACAUUUUUUUUUCCAUCUCGACGCCAUAGAUAAUGUGUGUAUUACAUUGUAUAGGGACAAAUUAAGUGCUACUACCGGAGCGUAAUUUGCGCUGGCGAUACGGGAGGAAAUUCUCAUUAUCCUGUCAAGCACAAUCAGCGUACGAGGAUAAAGAUGCGGACCUCCGCGGCCCUGCACACACGAAUAACUCCUUAUUGUAACGUAAUUGUCACACAUUGUACUUCCUUUUUGAUAUUCAAUCUUUUAACUUUCAUUGUUGGGCGAUAAAUCUGACUUUGGGUAACUAAGUUCAGUCGAAUAGGACUACAAAUGCUGUGACCGAAUUCUUUGGGUCUACCAAUGUUGGCGUGUAAUUUGAUGUAAUUAAAUGUUUCGUUAUU